CCUGAGGCGGCGCUGCUGGGUUCGCCGCUCCCCGGGCGCGGUGCCGUCCGGGCGUAGCGCAGCUCAGCGCUUCUACGCCGUGCUGAGUUUUGUUGCCGCUGGUUUUUACCUUAUUUCUUUGGAAGUUGCGGUGCUCUUUAAUUUGGAAGCUAGCGAGGACCUUGGUCGCUUCGCGCUGAACUCUUGGCUGUUCAGUUGCACAGCUUGCAGGCACUCACGUAGAAAUCUGCGAACUGAGUACCACGUGGAGACUGUUGACGUCUCCCAGUUGCUUUCAGAAAAGCAGAUGGCGCUUUCCCUGUCAGGCCCGUCGCUGCCGGACAGACCCCUUCGUUGGCCGCUCACCCGCAGCGGGGAGAGCCGUCCGGGCGGCGGCGCUCGGUGCCCGCCCCGCGGCUGCGAGCUGACCGCGCCGUGGGUCCCGCGCUGUUGGUUCGCGCGUUGCCCGUCGCGCUGACGUGCGCUCGUGCGAGGCUCCCGCGCGGGAAGGAUUCCUGUGUGGGGUUCGACGCGCUCCCAGACAGCGCGAACAUCCGCGUGCCGCCGAGUUGCGGAAGCGUUAACGUGCCACAAGGAGCUGUAGGAGAACAGACCUCGCUGAGACCUUGAAAUAUCCUGACUUUUCGCUUUUCACUGUUGUUAAUCACGGCUAACAAAGCCCUAACCCGAACUCCCACUUAACAGAGGCAGGGAAGAGUUUCCCCACGUGGGAACUCGAGGGCAUUUAGAAUCCUGCUGCUCUUUGCUAAAAGAUCGUUGAACGCUGUUGACGCUUCUAUUUCAGAGACAUCUCAUUUUGCAGGAGAUUACCAAAAUAAAGGAGUUCCACGUCUGUAGUGGAUUUGCAGCUGUCAGAUCAGUAGGCUGCUUAUUUACUGCUGACACGACAGCAGAGUUAACUGCGUGUAAGCGGUGCUAGAAAGGACAGCCGAGCCAGUCAAAGCUGCAGGUGUGAGAGUGUCUAAAAAGCAAGAAGCCGUACCUGCUGGGACAAACACUAGGCCCACCGGCAGAGACAAGGCCAGUAUUGUCAGUAUUUCAAAAAUUCAUCACAUGGAUGUCAUGCUGCGCAAAAUAAGCCACAAUAUCCCUGCAGCAGCGUUACAAGUUGCUCACCAAAAGCCACUGCCUUCCUUGGAGAAGUUCAUGCUGCCUAAAAGAAUUUAUAUUAUUCAACAGCCACGGAAGUGUUAAGACGUGCCUUAAAAAAAAAAAAAAACAAACAAAAACCCCACCACAUUCACGUUGAAGCAGAUUUCUAUUCUAAACAGCAAGUAGCACGCUGGUAAAAGGAUCAAAAGCUUGGCUGCCUUGUUAUCUUUUUGCAUUUCUGUUGGUGACAAUAAAAUACUUUAUAAAGAGAGUUACUUGGGUUGUAUUAAAAUAUCCUGGCUCUGUCUAA